rnacentral:rRNA from 1 species
GACGAACUGUUCUAACGUUAUUCGGAAUCACUGGGCUUAAAGGGCGCGUAGGCUGUUUGUUAAGCGGGGUCUGAAAUCCCUCGGCUCAACCGAGGAACUGGGCUUCGAACUGGCAGACUAGAGUGAAGUAGGGGUAAGCGGAACUUGCGGUGGAGCGGUGAAAUGCUUUGAUAUCGCAAGGAACACCGGCGGCGAAGGCGGCUUACUGGGCUUCAACUGACGCUUAAGCGCGAAAGCUAGGGUAGCGAACGGGAUUAGAUACCCGCGUAGUCCCUGAGCGGGCU